UACGUAGGUGGCAAGCGUUGUCCGGAAUCACUGGGCGUAAAGCGCACGUAGGCGGACUCUUAAGUCGGUGGUGAAAUCCUGGAGCUCAACUCCAGAACUGCCUUCGAUACUGAGAGUCUUGAGUCCGGGAGAGGUGAGUGGAACUGCGAGUGUAGAGGUGAAAUUCGUAGAUAUUCGCAAGAACACCAGUGGCGAAGGCGGCUCUG
rnacentral:rRNA from 1 species